AACAUCGCGCACCUGCGGGAACCUGCGGAGGGAUCAUUACAGAGUUGCAAAACUCCCUAAACCAUUGUGAACGUUACCUAAACCGUUGCUUCGGCGGGCGGCCCGGGUCCUUCCCGGCGCCCAUCGGCCCUCGCGGGCGCCCGCCGGAGGUAAACCAAACUAUUGCAUUGUAUGGCCUCUCUGAGUCUUCUGUACUGAAUAAGUCAAAAAUUUUAACAACGGAUCUCAGAUCGGAAGAGC
rnacentral:misc_RNA from 1 species